rnacentral:rRNA from 1 species
GAUGAACGCUGGCGGCGUGCCUAAUACAUGCAAGUCGAGCGAACAGACGAGGAGCUUGCUCCUCUGACGUUAGCGGCGGACGGGUGAGUAACACGUGGAUAACCUACCUAUAAGACUGGGAUAACUUCGGGAAACCGGAGCUAAUACCGGAUAAUUUAUUGAACCGCAUGGUUCAAUAGUGAAAGACGGUUUUGCUGUCACUUAUAGAUGGAUCCGCGCCGCAUUAGCUAGUUGGUAAGGUAACGGCUUACCAAGGCAACGAUGCGUAGCCGACCUGAGAGGGUGAUCGGCCACACUGGAACUGAGACACGGUCCAGACUCCUACGGGAGGCAGCAGUAGGGAAUCUUCCGCAAUGGGCGAAAGCUUGACGGAGCAACGCCGCGUGAGUGAUGAAGGUCUUCGGAUCGUAAAACUCUGUUAUUAGGGAAGAACAAAUGUGUAAGUAACUAUGCACGUCUUGACGGUACCGAAGCAGAAAGCCACGGCUAACUACGU